AAGAAAGUGGCAGAGUGGUUAUGCAAAUGGCUUGAAACCAUUUAAUGGGGGUUCGAUCCCCUCCUUUCUCG
rnacentral:tRNA from 1 species